GGAAGCUGGAAAGCCAAAGAUCAAAGUUCAGUUUCAGAAGAGAAGGAGCCAUGAAUUAUGGAGACACCUGUCACCUAAUGAAUUGACUAACAAACAAUAAAAUAGGACAAGACGUUAAUAGAUGGUAGGAAGAAGGAGGGGCCUUUGUUAAGUAAGGCAACACAUGUCUUCAGACUUCUCCUGGUCACUCUACCAAUAAAAAGCAUGGGAUUGAUGCAUAUAUAUUA